GGAGAGGUGUCCGAGUGGCUGAAGGAGCACGCCUGGAAAGUGUGUAUACGCCAAAAGUGUAUCGCGGGUUCGAAUCCCGCCCUCUCCGCCA
rnacentral:tRNA from 1 species